CCUACGGGGGGCAGCAGUGGGGAAUAUUGGACAAUGGGCGAAAGCCUGAUCCAGCCAUGCCGCGUGUGUGAAGAAGGCCUUCGGGUUGUAAAGCACUUUCAGUGGGGAAGAAAGCCUUGGGGCUAAUACCCUCGAGGAAGGACAUCACCCACAGAAGAAGCACCGGCUAACUCCGUGCCAGCAGCCGCGGUAAUACGGAGGGUGCGAGCGUUAAUCGGAAUUACUGGGCGUAAAGCGCGCGUAGGCGGUCUGAUAAGCCGGUUGUGAAAGCCCGGGCUCAACCUGGGAACGGCAUCCGGAACUGUCAGGCUAGAGUGCAGGAGAGGAAGGUAGAAUUCCCGGUGUAGCGGUGAAAUGCGUAGAGAUCGGGAGGAAUACCAGUGGCGAAGGCGGCCUUCUGGACUGACACUGACGCUGAGGUGCGAAAGCGUGGGUAGCAAACAGGAUUAGAUACCCGAGUAGUC
rnacentral:rRNA from 1 species